UGGGUGACAGUGGUGCAGGCUGUAUGAUCCCAGAACUCAUAAGGUAGAAGCUGGAGAGUCAAGAGUUCAAGGUUGACUUCAACUACUUGGAUGCAGUGUUGCUCAAUGGAGCCUAUUCAUGUUCCUGAGAAGAACACGGAGAGGAAAUGGAAGGAGUGGGUGGAACCAGAAGGUUCUGGGCCAAAGGUGUUCUCUGCACCUUAAAAGUGAGGUAUCAUGGCCUUGGGCCCCACACCUAUGGAGAUAGAGAAAACCAGAGCUGAGUGGCUACAAUACCCUGGAAACUUUCAUGGUUCAAAACAGCCAGAACCAGAUUGUUCUCCUCAGUAAACACCAUAUUCUCCAGAGCCAGUGUACCUGCUAUAUUGAGCCCUGAAUCUUCUAGCCUUAUAAUCUUUUUGGAAAUGGCCAAAUUCACAAUUAAAGCAUUGGGCAUUUUUAUUUCUAAGACUUCCAGCUAUAGCUUGUAUUGCAGUAAAAAAUAAAAAUGGUUCGGUGGC